rnacentral:tRNA from 1 species
GUGGCCUAGUCCUCAUGGCAUCUGCCCGGUAAGCGGAAGGUCGUGGGUUCGAUUCCCAUCCCUUAACA